rnacentral:tRNA from 1 species
GGGGAUUUAGCUCUGUGGUAUAAGCACCUGCCUUGCAAGCAGGUUGUCAUGAAUUCGAUCCCCA